UAUUAGAAAAAGUUUUUUGGGAACCCCUCGCUAGCAUGCCUUCUCAGCUUCUCUUGCUUUGUUUUCUCUCCCUUCUCUCUCAUUUCUUCUGGCUGAUCUUCUGACUUACUUGUCUUUGACCUCAUGUUCUUGCUGCAGAAUAACUCUUUUAGUUCCAUCUCAUUCUUGUUGAAUUCUCUUCUUUAAUAUUUAUAUUCUUCUUUCUUAGAUCUUCUUACUCUCACUGUAGUCCAGGCUGCAUUCACACUUCAUUGAAAAAACUGGCAUUGUUGUUCUCUGCUUCUCGGUGGCUGGAACUCAUGGAUGAUGCAGUGUCUGUCUUGGGCCUCGAGGAAGACUUCCUGGCAUGCUUAUGCACAUGCUUCCUUGCCUCACGGCUAGACCCCAGCAUGGGGUCCAUAACACCUGGUACUGGUGGAACUGGACUGGAGCGUUGCAGUAGGAGGUGCACUCCUUGAUUUGCUCAGGCCAACGUAUGGUGGGGGGAGAGGGGCGAGGGGUGUCUCCAGCCUGGAUAUGACAGCAGACCAUGUGGUGAUGCUGCUUAAGGUAAAAGAAUUCCACCUUCCCAGGUAUGGGCAGGGAAGGAGAGGCAGGUAUUGCACUUGGACACAUGCUGGGCUCCCCCCAAGCAGUAUAGGCAGUGCUGGUGGUCAUCACUGAUUGAAAAUGAGCAAGGGCAGGAAGCGCAUAUCUUGAACCCCAUUGUCUUUGUCCUGAUCCAGUACCCAGGCCUGGGUGCUCAAUGGGGAGGGCUGUUUGGAAACCACCGAAGCAGUGUUUUGAAGCUCCUUAAAUCCUAGGGAAAACUGCUUCUAACAGUAAAAGCUAGAACACCUCUACCUUGAUAUAACGUGACCUGAUAUAACACGAAUUCAGAUAUAAUGUGGUAAAGCAGUGCUCUGGGUGGGGGGGGGGGGGGGGCUGCGCAGUCCAGUGAAUCAAAGCAAGUUCGGUAUAACGCGGUUUCACAUAUAACGUGGUAAGAAUUUUUGGCUCCCGAGGACGGAGUUAUAUCGAGGUAGGGGUGUACUACAAAAAAUAAAAUGCUAACUAUGUACAAGAACAAUUUUUUAUGCAAAGUUUGUGAAGCGCAUCACAAGGGAUGAGAGGACAGCAGAAGCUUUGACUUGGACCAUGCAGUGGGAAGAAGGAACUGAGAGUGAAGUCAGUCCACCCUGCCAUUAAUCACCUUGGUCGAUAUCAUGAGUUGAAACAAGGGUGCAUGUGUGGCUCACCGGACACUACUACUUUUUAAAAGCUCUGGCUCGACGUAUGCGCAUAACCCUCAGUGGAAUACCAUCACUUGAAGAAGAACUACUAGUUUUUGAGUAUCAUGCUGUCUGCCUUAUGUGGUAGUGCCUUCUUUAGUUUUAUUUUGAUUCUCCCAAUAACAAGAUGGUUGUCACUUCUAAUAUCAGUACUCGUAUACACCCUGGUGUUCAACAGUGAUCUUCUGCAGUGCCUAUUAAUGGCAAUGUGGUCAAGCUCUUUCUGGGUGAAGCCGUCAUUUGAUCUUGUCAAUUGAGGGAGAAUCAAAACCCCAAGGAGGUUCUUUGUCUGAAAGGGGAUAUCUUCACAGCUAAGGUUAAGACAAGAAUUGGGAGUUGCCAUGUUAGCAUACUUUGCAACACGGUAGACUAUUUCAGAGAAAUGAAAUUAUUUGUAUUAAGUGUAGUUGGACUGAAAUGAGAUGAGAUGGACUAGACAAGGUAAACUACCAUUGGAAAGUGUGACUUUAUUUUUUAUUCUGGGGGAGAGGAUAGCAAACAGCAGGAAGACAUAGGCUUAUUAUUGAGUAAGGAAGCUACUAAAGCACCGAAGAAGUGGUGUAAGCUCAGACAUAUUGACUACUUGCUUUGUGACAGUUCAGUGUUAUGUGCAAUAAAUUAUAGUGAUGAACAAGUCAAACACGAUUUCUGUGAAAGAUUGCAGAGUGGCCUUGGCAAGAUCAAUAAAUACAAGUUAUUCUCAUGGGAGAUCUAAAUGCGCACCAAUUGGGGAUGAUAAUUCUACAUAUGAGCAUGUUAUGGUCAGACAUGGUAUCCCACGACAGACCAACAAUGGGGAAAGUUUUGUUGAACACUGCUGCCUAUAUCUUUGUAUUUUGGAAACAAUAUUGCCACACAAGGAAAGGGACACAAAUUGCCAAAAUAUAAUGGCCUGAUUUUCAAAAGUUCUGAACACCUGCAGCUCCAGUUGACUUUAGGAGGAUUUGCAGGCACUGAACACUUUUGAAAAUCAGGCCAUGAAGAAGCAGGAGAGCAUGCCAACACUGAAAUAAUGAAACAGAUUAAAUGAAAUAAAUUGAGAGGAGAGACAGAGUAGUGAGUUUAAGGAUCUUGAUGUACAACUGUUGUGCAGUCUUUGCUUUUUUUAAGAAAACUUUUGGCAACCACUUUAGGUCAAGCAGCUUCUAUAAUAUUGCAUUAGUUUCCCUGGAUUUAGUUCUGACUUUGAGAAUUGUCAGACAGAUUGUCAUCAUUGCUGAUCCCCUCACAGAGCAUCAUUCAUCUGAAAGUUAUUUAGACAGCUAUAAGGAGAGCAAAAGAAUUUCCAUCACAAGAAAUGUUUGGCAGUUUCCAGAUAGUGAUUCUUGGAGUGUCAUGGAAGUGAGCAUCCUCCCUCUCUCACUGCUCUUUGUUAGUCUUGUCUCAUGCAUACAGAUUAAUCCAUGGACUAGACUACAUGUGGCAGUGCUUCACAGAUUCCUUUUAUAGGGCUGGAACCAUUUUCAACAGGAGAUGCAAAGGAAAGUGAAAAUAGUAUUCAGAGUAAUUUAGUUCAUCUGGCUGAGGGACUAAAACCCAGAUCACUUGGAGCAUGUUAGAUGCAAAUAAACAGACUGCCCAGAGUCAGAACUCCUUCAGCAUGCUCCAUCAGAACUUCCUGGGCAGAAGGGGUGCUAGCCAUCACAAAGAAAAUCUUACAAAAUUGUUGCCCAUCAAGCACUUAUGAAGUACUGCAAGCUUGACUUUCACCCUGCUCAGGCCUGCCAACAGGAGUUCUGGGCUCCAGGGCCAACCUUAGUGGGGGUGGAACCCAGGGUGGAAGUGACAAAUCCUUCACUUCAGGGACCAACCCCAGGCUGGCCCAUGAGGCCCGGCCCUGGAGUGGUUGUGAGCUCCUAGGAGCCCUGUGGCCCACCUGGGUGAUUUCAAAGGGCCCGAGACUCGUAGUUGCUGCUACUGCAGCAGUGGCGGUGGCCAGGGGCACCUGGGCAAUUGCCCCCUUUGCUUCCUCGUCGGUGGGCCUGAUUCUGCUGCAGAAGCAUCCUUUGGCUGAAAGAGGCCCCAAGCAGUUAAAUACUGUACCUAUGCUACUCUCAUUAGGGAAAGCAGAAACCAUUAAUCCUGCUUAUUCCUGCUUUCCUACUAUUUUUUCCCUUAUUGCUCACUGUAAUUAUCUCAGGGUAAGUCUACAUGAGUGUGAUACAUCAGCACUGAGGCAGUAUGUCUGGUGACACAAGUUAUAUCGACUUAAGCAGUAGUGUAGGCCAAUCCUCAGACUGAGGAAGAAGUCGGGAUGCAGAAGGAAAAAUUUGUCGUCUAGUGAAUUCCUUUCUGGGACCUCUUCCCAGUCUGCCCUACCUGAGAUGUAGUCUCUGAUGAUCAGUAUAAUGGCCUUUUAAGAGUCUAUGUGUAUAGUUAAUACAGUUAAGAAAUACAGAAUUGGGUUGCAAUUAAAGUUUAAUUUAAUAAAUUGUUUAUAAAGGAUAGUAAAUGAUUGAUACAUGUUAUAAGCAUGCUACAGACAUCAGAUGCAUUGUACAUGUUAAAAAAAAAAAGUAGAUGAUAUUAGAUGGUUAUAAGCAACCUCUUGAACUCUAAAAUAAUCCAUAACAAUUGAUUUAAUAGAUAUCAAAACAUCUAUUCACUAUCAACUCUUUAGAAACAGAACUUUAAUAAUAAUGGUCAGACUUUAUAGUAAAGAAGCUUGUAUUUAGCUAAUAGUAAGAAUUCAGUGUUUUCAUACAGCUUUGGAAAUACUCCAGCAUGAGGGCAGAAAAAGUAGCAUGCCUAAGCUCCAGAGUCUUGUGGACAAGUCUGAACUGCUUCUGAUAUUUGGAGGAAGAGAGAAACAGCCUAAAUGCAUUAGACUGGGGGAGAGGUGAGUCCCACAUUGGAAAUCAUCAGAUCCUGGUCUCUUCCAUCCUGCUAAAACCCCCUUGCUUGGAAGUUGUGUAGAUGCCCAGUCUCUUGUGAUGCGUAGAGAAGAGGAAGUGGAUGUCAGUCACAAGCUUACAAAGAACUAUUAUAUAUAAUAGUGAGGUGAACCAUAUUUUUUAAAUAUAUGAAAAAUAUCUUGAUGGUCCCAUUUUCAGAGAAGGCAAAACAAGAAGUAUACCAGCCUUUGAAAAAGUUUUUUUUUUUUUUUUUUUUUUUGGCGGGGGGAGGUCUUAAACAGCAUGAAGCAACAUUUUGGAAAAAAAGGUAUUUACCUUCAGAAAUCACCUUAAACACCUUUUCAUUAAGUAUAUUUGAAGGCUGUCUUUAAAAAUCAACGUAGUUUUCACAUAAUUCAUGCAGAGAUUGUAUAUUUUUAAAUUUAAUUUUUUAUUCUAUAUUUUACCUGUUACCAAAAGUGUUAUUUUACAGAAAAACACACACAUGCAUACAGUAUUCUAUAAAGCUUAAAAAAACCAAACUGGUCCAAAUGUCAUUACAAGUUGAUUAUUUUAUUUCAAUAAUGAAUGUUUUUAAAUGCUGUAUUCCUACACUUUUGUGAACAGUACACAUUUAAAUUAAAUUUACUAUUGUGUUGUGGAGUAUACAUCUGCGUGAAGCUACAUAUAGAAAAAUACACAUAGCCAAUGACUGCACCACAGCUUGGGGGAGGGAGGGCAUGGUCCAGUUUGCCAGGGGAAGGGGUAUUUCACUUUUGGGGAGUUGGGGGGAGAGGCACAUAUACUGCUGCAAAAGCAGAGUGGGUCAGUGUUGCAAUGCUGACUCAUCCCUCAGGGACCAGAAGAGCUGGGGAGUUGAUAAAGGGCAAGCCCAGCAGAAGACCCUUUUCCCUGGACCAGAUGGAGUAGCACCCAGCCUCUCAACCUUGGAAGUGGCAAAAAAGCAGGUUUGGUCAGUAUCACAGUGGGCACUGCACUAGCCACUCCUUUCUUGGGAGGCUGGGAAGGAAUUUUCCCCCUCACCACCAGAUUAGCCAAACUGGAGUGGGAGAUUUUUGCAUCCUCCACAGCAUGUUCUGGAGGGCAGCGGCUGGGGGGGUGGGGGCGUGUUGUAAUGGUGAGUAGGAAAGGAAGUUAGGCUAUGAUGUCGCAACUCAUUAUGUAAGUAUGGGGCAGAUGUCCAGUGCAGGCAUUCCACAGGGAAGGGAUACAGUGAUCAUAUAAAUGGUUUGAUAAACAACUUAAAGGAGGUGUUUGUUAAAGGAGUGGAACGGGCUGAGAGGAGGGAGGGAUGGCAUGCCCAUGGCUGGGACCUUUCUUUAUAGCUCACCUUAACCCUCAUUUGAGAGUGGGAGGUCCCAGCAAUGGAUUGGCUGGGGACCAGGAUGGGAAAAAAGGGGUUGAGGGUUGGCAGAAGUCCCCAGGAAAAUAUUGAAAUGAUCAUGGUGUUACCUGCACUGUACACUUUUAUCUGUCAGGUAGUCCCAGACAUCUAAUAAAAUUGCAGCCUGGUUAAACCAUAUUCACGUCUCCUGUCCUUCCCGUAUAGCCAGACAACAAUGUAGCAUAAGGAAGAUAUAAUAGGUGUGUGUUUAACAAUUUUGCCAUUUUUCCAUUUCUUUUGUUUCUGUUUUCCUACCCUCUCAUCUUUCACCACUGCAUAUUAAUGGCCAGUGCUUUAAAUCUACAGUAGAUUUAGAGACAAAAUAGAAUUAACAACACAUGGUAUGUGUCAGUUGGCAUUAACAUUGGCUACUCCUGACAGUUAGUAGCGUAGCUGAAACUGAGUGCCAGCUUAGCAUUAAAUAUAGUCUACAAUGUAUAUGCUAAAAUAAAAAACACUGAAUCAGUAAAGGAGGGUAAUCUCACAAAAUAUUAAAGUUUGUUAUAAAAUAGUGCAAUUCAGAAGAGCUUUUUUCCUACAUAUGGUUGGAAUGGAAAUACCAUUGCCACAUGUAUACAUUUUAGUAGAUUUGUGAACAAUGUUAAACACUAACUAAUGAAUUAGAUUUAAUUUCUAUAAGGCAACUAUAAUGCAACAGUUAAAUGUUCACAGUAGUUUACUACUAGUUUGCUUUGGUGCACUGCCAUUAAAGGCAUCUAUUUCGUCAUAAGACAAGAUUACCAGGUUUAACACUGCUGCAGUAACAAGCAAACUACUAAUAAUUCUAACUUGAGAUGUGCAGGACUAUCUGAAAUCUCAAUGCUGAAGGGCUUUAUUUCUUUCACAAAUUAGACUAUUUUUGUUUUAUUCUUUAACUGCUAAAGAAAUGCUGUUGUAGCAGUGUCUGCGUGGAGCAACAGUUACAUGCACUGGUCAUGUGCAAUCUUAGAUGUUUCUUCUCUGGGAAUGUUCCUUGUUUUUUGUUGUAAGACAUUAGUCUAACCCAAGUUUGAAAAUCCUCUCUCUCUCUCUCUCUCUCUCUCUCUCUCUCGGCCACACUUAAUUCUAAAGGCUUGGGUGUGAUGAGCAAUUU